UACGUAGGAGGCGAGCGUUGUCCGGAUUUACGGGGCGUAAAGCGCGCGCAGGCGGCAGUGCAAGUAAGGUGUGAAAUAUCCCUGCUCAACGGGGAGGGUGCACUUUAGACUGCACAGCUCGAGGUCGGUAGAGGGGGGUGGAAUUGCUGGUGUAGCGGUGAAAUGCGUAGAUAUCUGGAGGAACACCGGUGGCGAAGGCGGCAUCCUGGACCAAUAUUGACGCUGAGGAGCGAAAGCCAGGGGAGCAAACGGG
rnacentral:rRNA from 1 species